UGGGGAAUAUUGCACAAUGGAGGGAACUCUGAUGCAGCGACGCCGCGUGAGUGAUGAAGGAAUUCGUUUCGUGAAACUCUGUUCUAUGGGAAGAAAAGGACUGUACCAUAGGAGAAAGCUCCGGCUAAAUACGUGCCAGCAGCCGCGGUAAUACGUAUGGAGCGAGCGUUGUCCGGAAUUAUUGGGCGUAAAGGGUGCGCAGGCGGCUUUACAAGUUGGAUGUGAAAUAUUGUGGCUCAACCACAAACGUGCAUCCAAAACUGCAAAGCUUGAGUUAAGGAGAGGUAAGUGGAAUUCCUGGUGUAGCGGUGGAAUGCGUAGAUAUCAGGAGGAAUACCGGUGGCGAAGGCGACUUACUGGACUUAAACUGACGCUCAGGCACGAAAGCGUGGGGAGCAAACAGG
rnacentral:rRNA from 1 species